GGUAAUUUGUUUUUCUUUAGACACACACAGAGGACCAAGUUGGUGCUGACUCUGAAGAAGAAGACACACAACUGCUCUGCAGAGAAGAGGCAGCUAGGCAACUCACUGAGCCAGAUGACAUAUCAGGUGGUGAUAUAGAAGAUGAAGAGCAAAACACACAAUGGUUGAGCAAUGAAGAGCAUAGCAGUUCAACCAAUCUUGAGGAUGGAAAUAUCCCAACCACCACUUGUAUCCAUGAUGGAGACCAGCCUUUGUAUCCUGGAGCCAAACUUUCAAAAGGUGAAAGUCUGACUGCACUUCUGGGCUACAUGCUACGCCACCAUGUGACCAAGGCAGGAAGUCAAGAUUUACUGCAUCUGCUGCAGAUCCUUCUCCCUGAAAACAGUUUACCCUCCACCAACUACAUGUUCAAUCGUGCUUUUGACACAACCAGCUGGCAGUUACAUCAUUAUUGUCUGAAUCCUGACUGUGGAGCUUACAUUGGCACACUCGAUGUCGAGAGUGUACUAUGUCCAAUGUGUGAUACAGAAUGCAAAGUAUCAGAAAAUCUGAGUAAAGGUUAU